UACGUAGGUGGCAAGCGUUGUCCGGAUUUACUGGGCGUAAAGAGCGCGCAGGCGGCUGGUCAAGUCCGAUGUGAAAUCUCCCGGCUUAACUGGGAAACUGCAUCGGAAACUGAUCGGCUUGAAGGUGGGAGAGGGUAGUGGAAUUCCCGGUGUAGUGGUGAAAUGCGUAGAUAUCGGGAGGAACACCAGAGGCGAAGGCGGCGACCUGGACAGGUACUGACACUAAACUACGAAAGCGUGGGGAGCAAACAGG
rnacentral:rRNA from 1 species